rnacentral:rRNA from 1 species
AUUGAACGCUGGCGGCGUGCCUAACACAUGCAAGUCGAGCGGCAGCGCGGGAGCAAUCCUGGCGGCGAGCGGCGGACGGGUGAGCAAUGCUUGGGAAUCUGCCUAUCAGUGGGGGACAACCCGGGGAAACUCGGGCUAAUACCGCAUACGUUCUUCGGAAGAAAGCAGGGGAUCGCAAGACCUUGCGCUGAUAGAUGAGCCCAAGCCGGAUUAGCUAGUUGGUGAGGUAAUGGCUCACCAAGGCGACGAUCCGUAGCUGGUCUGAGAGGACGACCAG